AGCGUCCGGCGAAAACUGCUCGGCUUGGGACCGGGAGACCAAGGGUACGUCCGGGGUAGAGUGAAAUCCCGUAAUCCUGGACGGACCACCGGUGGCGAAAGCGCCUCUGGAGAACGGAUCCGACAGUGAGGGACGAAAGCUAGGGUCUCGAACCGGAUUAGAUACCCGGGUAGUCCUAGCCGUAAACGAUGCUCGCUAGGUGUGGCGCAGGCUACGAGCCUGCGCUGUGCCGUAGGGAAGCCGUGAAGCGAGCCGCCUGGGAAGUACGUCUGCAAGGAUGAAACUUAAAGGAAUUGGCGGGGGAGCACUACAACCGGAGGAGCCUGCGGUUUAAUUGGACUCAACGCCGGACAUCUCACCAGCUCCGACAGCAGUCAUGACGGUCAGGUUGAUGACCUUACUCGACGCUGCUGAGAGGAGGUGCAUGGCCGCCGUCAGCUCGUACCGUGAGGCGUCCUGUUAAGUCAGGCAACGAGCGAGACCCGCACCUCUAGUUGCCAGCAGCAUCUCGCGAUGGCUGGGUACACUAGGGGGACUGCCGCUGCCAAAGCGGAGGAAGGAACGGGCAACGGUAGGUCAGUAUGCCCCGAAUGAGCUGGGCAACACGCGGGCUACAAUGGUCGGGACAAUGGGACGCCACCCCGAGAGGGGGCGCCAAUCUCCUAAACCCGAUCGUAGUUCGGAUUGCGGGCUGAAACUCGCCCGCAUGAAGCUGGAUUCGGUAGUAAUCGCGUGU
rnacentral:rRNA from 1 species